rnacentral:rRNA from 1 species
UACGUAGGGUGCGAGCGUUAAUCGGAAUUACUGGGCGUAAAGGGUGCGCAGGCGGCUCCGCAUGUCGGGCGUGAAAUCCCCGGGCUUAACCUGGGAAUUGCGUCCGAAACUAUGGAGCUGGAGUGUGGCAGAGGGAGGUGGAAUUCCACGUGUAGCGGUGAAAUGCGUAGAUAUCUGGAGGAACACCGGUGGCGAAGGCGGCGUUCUGGACGGCAUCUGACACUGAGAAACGAAAGCCAGGGGAGCAAACGGG